GCUCCGUUGGUGAACCAGCGGAGGGAUCAUUACCGAGUUUACAACUCCCAGACCCCUGUGAACAUACCUGUUUUGUUGCUUCGGCGGUGCCCUCGCUCUCGCGGCGAGGCCCGCCAGAGGACCCAAACAAACUCUUUGACUUUGAUCUAGGAUUAUACUUCUGAGUGAUACAAAAAAUAAAAUCAAAACUUUCAACAACGGAUCUCUUGGUUCUG
rnacentral:misc_RNA from 1 species